ensembl:lincRNA uncharacterized LOC106005820
GUAGGAGCCCCAAGUGCUUUCGGUCUUCCUAAAAACCACUGUGCGGUGCGCGCGGGUGGAGGGAAGAGAAAUCUGGAAGGAACUCGCGCCGUGGCGGAAGGAGCUCCAAGGGACGGCUGAUAGAGCCACGAGUACUGCGAGAUGACCGCGACAGGCUGGGGGAAGGGGAAUCAGCUGCCAUGUUGCGAGGACACUCAAGCAGCCAUGUGGAGAAGCCCAUAUGAAGAAGAACUGAAGCCUUCCUGUAACUAAUUUGCCAGGCUGUACAGAAACAGGCAGGAAGCUGGAUUUGGCCCACAGGACUGUAGUUUGCUGUUCCCUGGCUUAUAGUUUGUCUGUUCUUUGGAUUCUCCUUUGAACCAUCUGCAACAUCUUAUUGGCUCCUACAUUAACUAAUGAAUUAAAUAAAAUCUUCGACUAUGUGCUCACUU